AUUUUUGGACGACAAGUGAAUAGUAAAUCAGGAUUUCUCGAUAAACGAAAUGAGCUCGUUUAUCAGAAUUUCGAGAACGAGCUUGCGUUUUCUUUAUUUAUAUAGAAUUACGAGUGCAAUGAAAGUGAGUAGAGGUUGAGAGGGCGAGUAACGAAGAGUAUGGGUAGUUAGUCGUUAAAACGAGACGAAACGAGAUAUUUAACGACUAACGGGUUAAUAUCCUAAAUAUCUAAACCUACCCUACCCCAAACCACCCCCCAACCAACCAAACCCACCCACUCACAUUUAUUACACGGCUAUAUCAGCCAACUCACACAACAACAAACACAUUCACACACACAACACCUAAAACACACACACACUUCACGCCAUUUUCAUUUUAGCUUGAGCUCAAGCUUUUGACUUCCGAUUUGAGCACCGAGACGAGCGCCGAUCAUCUUUUCGAUCACGUAUCUAAGUAGGUCCUUUUGGGAAGUAACGACUUGAGGGAGAGAGUGACGUUACUCAUUGAUACAGAGACACAACGAGGUUGAGCUGAUGUGAUGAUGGUGCUGCAAUGAGCGGAGUCUCCAGGGUUGUUAAUAAAUAGUUAACCUGUCUAGAAUAUGUCUUCAUACAUAUGUCUAGCUACUUUCCGCUGCAAGAUGUUGUUGAUGUUAUAGUAUGUUAUGUCAUACUUUGAGUCUCAAGAGAAUGGUUGCAUAUGAUGU